rnacentral:rRNA from 1 species
AGAGGCGAUGAAAGACGUAGUAACUUGCGAUAAGCCCAGAUUAGGUAGUAACAACCAUUUGAGUCUGGGAUUUCUGAAUGGGGAAACCCACGUGCAUAAGCACGUAUCCUUACCUGAAUACAUAGGGUAAGGAGGCGAACCGGGGGAACUGAAACAUCUAAGUACCCCGAGGAAAAGAAAUCAACCGAGAUUCCGAAAGUAGCGGCGAGCGAAAUUGGACUAGCCCUUAAGCUUUACACGCGUUAGACGAACGGUCUGGAAAGUCCGACGAUACAGGGUGAUAGUCCCGUAGUUGACGACGUGUGUUCAGUGAAAUCGAGUAGGGCGGGACACGUGAUAUCCUGUCUGAAUAUGGGGGGACCAUCCUCCAAGGCUAAAUACUACUGACUGACCGAUAGUGAACCAGUACCGUGAGGGAAAGGCGAAAAGAACCCCUGUGAGGGGAGUGAAAUAGAACCUGAAACCGUGUACGUACAAGCAGUAGGAGCAGGCUUUGUCCUGUGACUGCGUACCUUUUGUAUAAUGGGUCAGCGACUUAUAUUCAGUGGCAAGGUUAACCAUCUAGGGGAGCCGUAGGGAAACCGAGUCUUAACUGGGCGUUCAGUCUCUGGAUAUAGACCCGAAACCAGGUGAUCUAGCCAUGGGCAGGUUGAAGGUUGAGUAACAUCAACUGGAGGACCGAACCGACUAAUGUUGAAAAAUUAGCGGAUGACUUGUGGCUAGGGGUGAAAGGCCAAUCAAACCUGGAGAUAGCUGGUUCUCCCCGAAAGCUAUUUAGGUAGCGCCUCGGACGAAUACUACUGGGGGUAGAGCACUGUUAAGGCUAGGGGGUCAUCCCGACUUACCAACCCUUUGCAAACUCCGAAUACCAGUAAGUACUAUCCGGGAGACACACGGCGGGUGCUAACGUCCGUCGUGGAGAGGGAAACAACCCAGACCGCCAGCUAAGGUCCCAAAUUACUACUAAGUGGGAAACGAUGUGGGAAGGCUCAGACAGCCAGGAUGUUGGCUUAGAAGCAGCCAUCAUUUAAAGAAAGCGUAAUAGCUCACUGGUCGAGUCGGCCUGCGCGGAAGAUGUAACGGGGCUAAGUAGUAAACCGAAGCUGCGGCAAUGUGCUUUUGCACAUUGGGUAGGGGAGCGUUCUGUAAGCGGUUGAAGGUGUGUGGUAACGCAUGCUGGACGUAUCAGAAGUGCGAAUGCUGACAUGAGUAACGAUAAAGGGGGUGAAAAACCUCCUCGCCGGAAGACCAAGGGUUCCUGUC